rnacentral:rRNA from 1 species
AUGCCCUACCGUAAAACAUUAAUUCACAUCACCCACGCCAGGGUACUACGAGCCCUGCUUAAAACCCAAAGGACUUGACGGUGUCCCACCCAACUAGAGGAGCCUGUUCUAUAAUCGAUAAUCCCCGAUUCACCCAACCCCAUCUUGCCACUCAGCCUGUAUACCUCCGUCGUAAACUUACCAUAUGAUUGCACAAAGUAAGUUUAAUGAUCUCACAUCACUACGUCAGGUCAAGGUGCAGCUCAUGAUAGGGAAGCAAUGGGCUACAAUCUCUAAGAUAGAACACACGAAAUGCUUUAUGAAAUACAGCAUGAAGGCGGAUUUAGUAGUAAAAAGAAAAUAAUGCGUCCUUUUUAACAAGGCCCUGAGACAUGUACACACCGCCCGUCACCCUCUUCAAUAGAAUGUCAUAUGUUUAUAACAACUUCCUUUCAUCUCAGAAGAGGCAAGUCGUAACAUGGUAAGUGUACCUGAAGGUGCACUUGGAUUUAA